CUCUCUCUCUCCCUCUCUGCGUCGUGAAGUUUCUGCCUCCUCCUCCUCCUCCUCCCGCAUCGAUCGAUCAACAGUUGCCAAAGACGACGGAGUCGCCAACACCUUUCCUCCUCCUCCUUUAAUUGAUCAUUCAAUGUUCGCCAGAGAUGACGGAGUUGCCAACACCUUUCCUCCUCCUCUAUUGCUGCAACUAGUCCCGAUAAACGAAUGGGUCUCUGCGCAUGAGGUUAGAAUCGGUCGACGUAUGAGCAAUUGCAAGCCUUUCACUAUGGCGAUUUAGCAUCUUCAGUUUCUUUGACUCCUCAGCGUCUUGGAGAACUAGGCUCAUGUCUGGCACAUGUCCCUCUUCUAUGAUUCUGGCAGUCAACUUGUCCAGCUCAGCACUAGUAAGUUCUGAAUGAGUUCUUGAUUGAUCAUAAGCUGAAAAGAUAUGUACUCUGUUCUUAUACUUGAUCCAACUACAUUCUGGUUCCUUUUUUAUUGAUCUAUCUCUCAUAUCCCGCCUUUGUUGGGCCGCAAACAUAGAUAUUUGUGAGUAAAACAUAGCUUGCAGGGUUCUGUGGCUCCAAUUCUAACAAUGAAUCAGCUGCUCAUUUCCCAAUUUCCCCGUAUUACCAUGAAGUCUACAUGAGCACUGCAGCUGCGCCCAACCGAUUGCAUCGGGAGGGAAGGGCAUUUUGUGUAUAAAAUUUUUGGCUUCUUCGAACCUUCUUGAUCGGCUAAAAAGAUCAACCAUGCAAGUAUGGUGACCAUCGAUCAGGGUAAUUCUAUAUUCUUUGAUCAUCAAUUUAAAAUAUAUUUGUCCUUUCUCAACGAAUCCUGCUCUACUGCAUGCUGAAAAAAAGCCAAUGAAAGUGACAGUAUCUGGUUUCAAUCCCUGGGCCAACGUCUUCUCAAACAAAUCUAUGGUCUCCUUAGCUUUGCCAACCUGAGGAUAACAUGACCCAAGUGCUGUCUAGGAAACCACAUCCGUGAUUCUCAUCUCAUUGAAUAGCAGAACGGAGUACUCUAUGAUUCCACAUUUACCGUACAAGGUUAUGAGAGCAUUUGAAACUAUCAAAAAUGAAAUAAAGCCAGAAACCAAGGCUCUACAAUGAAACUGUGCACCCUCGUCUACGCUUGCUAGGUUUGCGCAUAAGCUAAUCACACUCCCAAGUGUGAACUCAUCGGGUCAAUGCCAUUUUUCUACAUAUCACAGAAAACCUUGAUAGCUUCCUCACUCAGCCCAUUCUGACCAUACCCCAAUAGCAUUGAUGUCCAUGAUAUAACGUUUUUAAUGAUCAUUUUUCUAAAUUCUUUUUCAGCAUGUGUGAUCUUUUCUCUUACGCACCGGCUGUGGUCUUUGAACUUUUACCUAAUCGGGGUGGAAUUUGAUUCUUUUAUUUCUCGUCGAGCGAUUUGCCACGGUGGGUCAUCAUCAUUUAUAUGUCUUGUUGUGCUCUUAGGAUGUUUGUGCUGUGUGGUAGCCAUCUAUACUAAGUGAGCAAUGAUUGUGUGUGGUAGCCAAAUGUUGGGUGGUUACAAUGUUAUAGCUAUGUUAUGAUUUAAUGUAGUAUUGCAUGUAAUUCUAACAUGAUUAUGUUAUGAUUUAAUGUAUGGCUCAUAUGCUACCCAACCAGUCAAGGUUGAAUGGCAUCCCAGAAAGAGGCAUUUACCACAAAGUGAAUCUAGCUUUCAACCAACUUGUAUGUAAGUUUGUUGGUAGAAGAGGUUAAAAAGAAAAAGCGCACAUCCUACUUACAACAAAGCAGGGUGGAAUCUACUUAUAACAAAGCGGGGUAGAAUAACUAUGAGUUGAAUUUAAUAAACGGACAUGACUCCAAUAUAACAAAGAAUAGUUGGGAACAAAGCAAACAAACUGAAAAAAUAGUAUGGUAGCUUUAAGAAACUUUUUUCACAAUCUUGAUUUGACUUGGAUAAUAUCAAAAAAACAGUUGUUAUUGAUAAUCCAAGUAUAUGAGAACCUCACAUCAAUGUAUCAUUUAACUUUUGGUCAUUUUGAGAUCAUUGUAGAUGUAAGCUUUAAGAUGUUUGAUUAUGUUGUUGAGGUAUGUUGUCAUUGUGAAAAUUGUGGGAUAAUAGUAAGUGGGCAAAAUUCAAGAAUGAUGGAUUUCCUCAGUAUCCCGAGCUAUGUAUUGUUUUUUGUGAUACAUAUGCCACUGUGGAGCAUGCAACGAGAAAUACAAAAGAUUUGAUGCUAUCGAAGGAAGAUGUCAAUGUUGGUGGUGAUGUAAACGGUGAUCUAGUGGACGAUAAAGGAGUAUUUACAGCUGACAAUACAACUACUCCAAUCCAACACUCAAGAUGGAUAGGACUCCAAAUACGAAGAGGAGAAGAAAGAUUAACUCAUAUGAUGUUGCUAGCACUUGCAGAGCCUUACAAGAGAUGAUUAAAUCUAGAACAAGUCAAUCUGUGAGUAGCUCUGCCACCUCACAGGUCACAUCACCACCUGUAGACCAUUUCUUUAUAUCUGCUAUGAUUGAUAUUCUAGUUAGCAUGCUUAAGUUGGAGCAGGAUCUUUACAACAAAGUAGUAGAAUGAGCAUGCAUUAGUAGUAAAUGAAGAGAGGCUUUCAUAAAAUCCCUAGUUGAAAUGAGAAAUGGACUUCUUUAACAUCUUUAGUAGAUGUUGAGAAA